rnacentral:rRNA from 1 species
CCUACGGGAGGCUGCAGUGGGGAAUAUUGCACAAUGGGCGCAAGCCUGAUGCAGCCAUGCCGCGUGUGUGAAGAAGGCCUUCGGGUUGUAAAGCACUUUCAGCGGGGAGGAAGGCGUUAAGGUUAAUAACCUUGUCGAUUGACGUUACCCGCAGAAGAAGCACCGGCUAACUCCGUGCCAGCAGCCGCGGUAGUACGGAGGGUGCAAGCGUUAAUCGGAAUUACUGGGCGUAAAGCGCACGCAGGCGGUCUGUCAAGUCGGAUGUGAAAUCCCCGGGCUCAACCUGGGAACUGCAUUCGAAACUGGCAGGCUAGAGUCUUGUAGAGGGGGGUAGAAUUCCAGGUGUAGCGGUGAAAUGCGUAGAGAUCUGGAGGAAUACCGGUGGCGAAGGCGGCCCCCUGGACAAAGACUGACGCUCAGGUGCGAAAGCGUGGGGAGCAAACAGGAUUAGAUACCCCUGUAGUC